CUGCAGUCAAUGAAGCCAAGAGGAUGCCUCUGCUGUUGGGUGCCCAGUGUAGUGGCUGCUGACAUCAAGCUCCUCAGCAGUGCUUGAAGCCUGUUGCUUGUGUGGGCCACCCUAAAGGGCUUAGAGACACUG
ensembl:snoRNA SNORA70 Small nucleolar RNA SNORA70